rnacentral:lncRNA from 1 species
UCGAGAUUUUACAGCCAUUCGAGAUUUACAACGAUUCGAGACUUCAAACAUAUUCGCUAUAUCAACAAAACACCUGUAUAAUACCUGUAUCUUUAUUGCUUCCCUUAAAUUUGAUUUCGUCAGCUAUAAUAUUACACCUUCUGUUUGGCGAAAUGGGGUUUCCGUUUUGAAAACAACAGCCUCUAUAAAUUCAACUGGUAAUCCCGCCCCUUAGAAACAUUGUCACUUGACCCUAGAAACGGUCAAGGUUGAACAGCCCAACGCGAACGCAUGUAGUUUUACGGUCAAACGGCAGUGCCGGAUUAACCCAUAGAUAUGUCAUAUCUAUGAAUUAACCAUAUCACAUAUGGCAGAAGCGGCAUAUGCCACGGGCCUCGAAUUUUUUGUUCCCUGCUUUGGCGCGGGGCCCAAACCAAUAUAAUGCACAGCAGGUAUAUACUUCUAGGUUAGUACUUGUCACAGAUGAUACUAUUGCUGGUACUCAUUGUGUCACUUUAUUCAAAUUAUUGAUGUAUAUUUCUCGUUUUUUUGUAAAUGCGCUGGCAACUUUUGGAGUACAAUAUUAUAUUUUUGAAUCUUUCUGAAUUUAGUGUUUAAAAUGCCGUGUGUGUGUGUGUGUGUGUCAAGGGGCCCCGCGCUUAUAACAUGCCAUGGGCCCCUUCUUCCACGAUCCAACUGAUCGCUGUUAUUACCACGGUCACGGCAUCUUCAGUAUUUCAUUAAUAUUUGUUUCUACUCCUUGGAGUCCAUGAAAAGAAACCUGUUACAGCCGAUUCCGUUUUACCGUAUAAAACAUGACCGUUUCUUCGGUCAAAUGACAAUGUUUCUAGUAACGUUGUUUUCAAAACGGAAAGCCCAUUUCGCCAAACAGAAGAUGUAAUACAAAACAACUCACUCACCGAAACAAGUGUAACUAAAUGUUAUCGAUCUUUGGAGUUAAGGCGGUUUUCCAGUCCUCGCACGAAGCUCCUCGCAGCUCGCUGCGAGUGCUUGCAUCUAAUGAAAAUUAACUGUUUUGCAUUGUGAUUGGCUGAAAGUGCUCAUGCAUGCACUCGCAGCGAGGAGCUUUGUGCGAGGACUGGAAAACCGCCUUUACACUUUUUUCGUAUUUUGUUAAAAUACUUAGUGGCUCUUAUAAUUUUUAAUAUUAUAGACGAAAUCAAUUUUAAGGGAGGCAAUAAAGAUACAGGUAUUUUCAUGGGGAGUUUCGUUGAUAUAGCGAAUACGUUUGAAGUCGCGAAUGGUUGUAAAAUCUCGAAUGGUUGUAAAAUCUCGAAUCGUUGUGAAAUCUCGAAUAGCUGUAAAAUCUCAAAUAGCUGUAAAAUCUCGAAUAGCUGUAAAAUCUCGAAUAGCUGAGACAUCUUGAAUGGUUGUAAAAUCUCGAAUGGCUGUAAAAUCUCGAAUACCUGAAAAAUCUCGAAUGGUUGUAAAAUCUCAAUCGCUUUUGGCCGAUUCUCGACAUUAAUUCUGAUUCUCGAAUAUUUUUGGUCCAAACGGCGCGCCAUACAUUUUCACCUUUUUCGCACUUCACUUCCCUAAUUAUUUGCUGUCCGACGCACCUCCCUUAAAAUCGCCAGAGGCUACUCAGCCUACCCUGAACGAGGUAUAUAAAACGCAGCGAAGAGGCAGAGCAAGAAAGAAAAUCAACAUACUCUAGCAAUGUUUGCACGCAAGCAAAACACAUCAAGUGUCCACAUUGAGUUUGUAUGGGCUUGCACAACAACAUGUCACAACUUGUACAGAUGAAUUUCUUAUCGAUUUUCUUGCGAUCUUCAUCCGCAAUUCUUAUCCUUGACAUGAUGGGAACUACAAAAAGAUUUUUAGAAAAAAGAUCCAGUUUGUAAAAAAAGUUCUGAAACCGGUUUAGGGAAACAAAUGGUACGCAUACUCACACAGAGAGCAGAGGAGUUGAGUUUGUCUACUAAAACAAGACAAAUACCGUCUAUUGUUUAAUAUUUAUAUUAACGACUUCCUAAACUAUUUGAACAAGCUCAAUCAGACCCUUUUGUAUUACAAAACGGAACUGCUAUCAACAGUCUCUUAUAUGCAGAUGAUCUAAUUAUACUUUCACGAUCAAAACAUGGUCUAAAAAAUUGUUUGAAUCAGUUACACGAAUGGUGUAGUAAAUGGAUGGAAGUCAACAUCAAGAAAACAAAAGUUAUGAUUUUUCAAAAACACAACUCAAAAUUACCAAACCUCCACUUCCACAUUGGAAAUAAGAAGAUAGAUAUAGUUAAAGAAUAUACCUAUCUUGGCUUAAAACUCGUGCCAAAUAGCAAAUUUAAACUCGCACAACAGCAAUUAAGCGAAAAAGCUUUGCAUGCUCUUUAUAAAAUUCGUAAAAAUCUAGACUUCCACGAACUCUCGCCGAAAACAGCUAUAAAAAUUUUCGAAUCGAUCAUCACUCCCAUUUCUACUAUACAACUCAGAAGUUUGGGGAGCAUAUGAAAAGAAUGAUCUAAAUAAAUGGGAUAACUCAGAUACGGAAAAGGUUCACUUAAGGUUUUGCAAGCUAUAUUUGGGUGUUAACAGAAAGGCAAGCAAUACAGCUUGCAGAACUCGGAAAAUAUCCUCUUCUGAUUACAAUUAAAAAGAAUAUAAUAAAUGAUUUUAAACAUAUUUUUAAACUAGACAACAACUCAAUAGUUAAACAAUCUUUACUAAUGUCUAAACAACCAUAUGAAAUAGGCAGAGAAUCUUUCUAUGCCAACUCAAUAAACAUGCUAAAAGCAUUCUACGAUAAAAUUACAAAUUUUGAAUGUGACGUAAUCAACUACGAUACAAAAACCGUCGUAAAGAAAAUGAAAGACAAAUAUGUUGAAUUCUGGCGACAAAAAAUGAAAAAAUCCUCCAAACUCUCUUUCUUUUGUAAAUUCAAAAAUGAAUACAAAAUGGAAGUAUACUUAUCCCUUAUUCAAAAUCCAACAAUAAGAAGAACAUUUUCCCAAUAUCGCAGAAGCAACCAUAAGUUACAAAUUGAACGAGGAAGAUACGAAAAUAUACCUCGAGAAGAACGUAUCUGUAAACUAUGUGAUUCUGGCGAAGUGGAAAACGAAUUUCAUUUCGCCGUCGCAUGCCAAAAUUACCAACACUUGCGAGAGAACUCAAACAACAUUCUCGAAAAUAUGUUUGAUCUCAAUAUAACAUAAGAAACUAAACAAAAAUUACUUCAACACACGAUGUCAUCGGACGAUCCUGUUUUAGUAAAUUUAUUUUCUAAUUAUUUAUUUCUCUGCACAAAAGAAUGAGAAGAUAGCCUCAAAUCUCUGGUAACCCAAAAUAAUUUAAAAAUAGGUACGCAACGCGUACAUGUAUCUGCGAAAAAACGCGAUUCACAUUUUGCAUUUUCUUGAAAGGAAUUGGAUAAUGAAGAUGACAUGGGACAAUUGAAAUAUUUAAUCACUUAUUAUAAUAAAUAUAAUAGCAAAUAAGACUUUAGCAUACCCCGAUUAUGAUUAUAACGGAUAAUUAUGCAGUCAAGAAAUAAAAAAUUCAUGCAAACAAUAUUUGAAGUGUCUAUACAGCCAACAGCCGGCUAUUUAGUAAACUGUCACUUGUCAAACCAUGCAUUUUCAAAACUUUAUUGUAAUCAGAUGAAGCAAAAGUUGUGUCACUUGUUGUUUACACUUGCCAUAAUGUUAACUGUUGAGUAAUAUACACAAACUAUUCGAGGAACAUGCAUUACUGUAGCAAAGAGUCAAUCAUAUAUUGAAGACCACUGAAUAGAAGAGAAUGUUUUGAAGGUCAUGAAUGAAGUAUAUAUUAAUUCAAUUCCAAUCCUGUGCACAGUUAAUGAUAUACCACACGUCACUGUUCACUUUAGCACAACAUACCCACACAAAAACAAUUUUUGUUGUGGGAGAAUAUCGGUUUGAGUAAAGGUAGCACAACUUUAGUUUUGUACAUUGUGUGCCAUUGAUCUGAUCCAUCCAUAUAAUAUGAUUAUUGUAGCUGUUAAGUUAUUUUUCAUACUAAUGCAAGUGGGUUGUUCUGACAAAAUUAUCUAGCCAAUAUCCAGCUUAUUCAUCAUUCUUGUAUUAAUCUCUAAACAAAAACAUUUAUGUUAGAAAGCAAAAUGACAAUGUAAUGAGGAGGGAGGGUGGGGAUUCUUUUAUUAGAAUUUGAAAAUGUUUGUAAAAAUUUUGUAUACUUUUGAAACUCUAAUAGUCUAAUGUGUAAAACCAAAAUCAAAUGUAUAAGUAUUUUGACUGAUAACAUCUUAACCUUUGCUCAAACACUACAUAUAUUAGAUAACAGCUUACUUGGACUGCUGUUUUGAACAGAGUUACAGAAAUACUGAGAACAUUAGUUUCCUGUGAUAUUGUUCAUUGGCAAUAUUGCCUGCUAUAAUGUAUAGAUAUAGAUAAAAUAUGUGGUAUUUGACUACUUA